rnacentral:rRNA from 1 species
AGAGUUUGAUCCUGGCUCAGAACGAACACUGGCGGCGUGGAUUAGGCAUGCAAGUCGAACGAGAAAGUUUCCUUCGGGAGACGAGUACAGUGGCGAACGGGUGAGUAACGCGUGGGAAAUCUGCCCUUUAAUGGGGGAUAACAGAUCUAACGAUCUGCUAAUACCGCAUAAGCCCUCUAGGUUGCAUGACCCGGAGGGGAAAGAUGGCCUCUACAUGUAAGCUGUCGUUGAAGGAUGAUCCCGCGUCCCAUUAGCUAGUUGGUGGGGUAAAGGCCUACCAAGGCGACGAUGGGUAGCCGGCCUGAGAGGGUGUCCGGCCACACUGGGACUGAGAUACGGCCCAGACUCCUACGGGAGGCAGCAGUCGAGAAGCAUCCGCAAUGGGCGAAAGCCUGACGGUGCGACGCCGCGUGAGCGAAGAAGGCCCUAUGGGUUGUAAAGCUCUGUCAGAUUGGGAAGAAAGCAAUGCGGUUAAUACCCGUGUUGUUUGACGGUACCAUCAGAGGAAGCACCGGCUAACUCCGUGCCAGCAGCCGCGGUAAUACGGAGGGUGCAAGCGUUGUUCGGAUUCACUGGGUAUAAAGGGUGCGCAGGCGGCCUGAUAAGUCAGAGGUGAAAUAUGUCGGCUCAACCGGCAAACGGCCCCUGAAACUGUCAGGCUUGAGUUCGAGAGAGGUAGGUGGAAUUCCAGGUGUAGCGGUGAAAUGCGUAAAUAUCUGGAGGAACACCGGUGGCGAAGGCGGCCUACUGGCUCGGAACUGACGCUCAGGCACGAAAGCUAGGGGAGCGAACGGGAUUAGAUACCCCGGUAGUCCUAGCCGUAAACGAUGGGCACUAGGUGUUGGAGGAGUCUACCCCUUCAGUGCCGCAGCUAACGCAUUAAGUGCCCCACCUGGGGAGUACGAUCGCAAGGUUGAAACUCAAAGGAAUUGACGGGGGCCCGCACAAGCGGUGGAGCAUGUGGUUUAAUUCGAUGCAACGCGAAGAACCUUACCUGGGCUUGACAUGCAGGGGACAGGUGUAGAAAUACGCCCUUUCUUCGGAACCCUUGUACAGGUGCUGCAUGGCUGUCGUCAGCUCGUGUCGUGAAAUGUUGGGUUAAGUCCCGCAACGAGCGCAACCCUUGUCUUUAGUUGCCAUCAGGUUAUGCUGGGGACUCUAGAGAGACUGCCGGUGACAAACCGGAGGAAGGUGGGGACGACGUCAAGUCAUCAUGGCCCUUACGCCCAGGGCUACACACGUGCUACAAUGGUCGGUACAAAGGGCUGCAAUACAGCGAUGUGGAGCGAAUCCCAAAAAGCCGGCCUCAGUUCGGAUCGUAGUCUGCAACUCGACUACGUGAAGUUGGAAUCGCUAGUAAUCGCGUAUCAGAACGACGCGGUGAAUACGUUCCCGGGCCUUGUACACACCGCCCGUCAAGUCAACCGAGUUGGCUGCACCCCAAGUCGCUGAGCUAACCCCUUCGGGGGAGGCAAGUGCCCAAGGUGUGAUUGGCGAGGGGGACUAAGUCGUAACAAGGUAGCC